GGGUGAGUAACACGUAGGGAACCUGCCCGCGCACCGGGAAUACGCUCUGGAAACGGAGAACAAAUCCCGAUGUACAGGAAGGAGGCAUCUUCUUUCUGUGAAACAUCCUUUAGGGGAUGGGGCGCGGAUGGACCUGCGGUGCAUUAGUUGGUUGGCGGGGUAAAGGCCCACCAAGACGAUGAUGCAUAGCCGGCCUGAGAGGGCGGACGGCCACAUUGGGACUGAGACACGGCCCAGACUCCUGCGGGAGGCAGCAGUAGGGAAUUUUCGUCAAUGGGCGCAAGCCUGAACGAGCGAUGCCGCGUGAGUGAAGAAGGCCUUCGGGUCGUAAAGCUCUGUUGCGGGGGAAAAAAGGCAGCAUCAGGAAAUGGGUGCUGACUGAUGGUGCCCCGCCAGAAAGUCACGGCUAACUACGUGCCAGCAGCCGCGGUAAUACGUAGGUGGCGAGCGUUAUCCGGAAUGAUUGGGCGUAAAGGGUGCGCAGGCGGUCCUGCAAGUCUGGAGUGAAACGCAUGAGCUCAACUCAUGCAUGGCUUUGGAAACUGGAGGACUGGAGAGCAGGAGAGGGCGGUGGAACUCCAUGUGUAGCGGUAAAAUGCGUAGAUAUAUGGAAGAACACCAGUGGCGAAGGCGGCCGCCUGGCCUGUUGCUGACGCUGAGGCACGAAAGCGUGGGGAGCAAAUAGGAUUAGAUACCCUAGUAGUCCACGCCGUAAACGAUGAGGACCAAGUGUUGGGG
rnacentral:rRNA from 1 species